GUGGGUUUAGCACAGCGGUAGUUGCGAGAGAUUGCAAUCCAACGAGCACCAAGCUCGUUGUCGGUAAUCAUCUCUAGGUCCCCGGUUCGAUCCCGGGAACUCACU